rnacentral:rRNA from 1 species
AAAGCAGGGGAUCGUAAGACCUGCGCUAUUGGAGCGGCCGAUGUCUGAUUAGCUAGUUGGUGGGGUAAUGGCCUACCAAGGCGACGAUCAGUAGCUGGUCUGAGAGGACGACCAGCCACACUGGGACUGAGACACGGCCCAGACUCCUACGGGAGGCAGCAGUGGGGAAUUUUGGACAAUGGGCGCAAGCCUGAUCCAGCCAUGCCGCGUGAGUGAAGAAGGCCUUCGGGUUGUAAAGCUCUUUCGGCCGGAAAGAAAUCGUUCAGGCUAAUACCCUGAAUUGAUGACGGUACCGAGAGAAGAAGCACCGGCUAACUACGUGCCAGCAGCCGCGGUAAUACGUAGGGUGCAAGCGUUAAUCGGAAUUACUGGGCGUAAAGGGUGCGCAGGCGGCUUUCUAAGUCAGAUGUGAAAUCCCCGGGCUUAACCUGGGAACUGCGUUUGAAACUACAAGGCUAGA